GAUGAACGCUAGCGGGAGGCCUAACACAUGCAGGCCGAGCGGUAGAGUCUCUUCGGAGACUUGAGAGCGGCGCACGGGUGCGGAACACGUGUGCAACCUGCCUUUAUCUGGGGGAUAGCCUUUCGAAAGGAAGAUUAAUACCCCAUAAUAUACUGGAUGGCAUCAUCUGGUAUUGAAAACUCCGGUGGAUAGAGAUGGGCACGCGCAAGAUUAGAUAGUUGGUGAGGUAACGGCUCACCAAGUCAGCGAUCUUUAGGGGGCCUGAGAGGGUGAUCCCCCACACUGGUACUGAGACACGGACCAGACUCCUACGGGAGGAAGCAGUGAGGAAUAUUGGACAAUGGGUGAGAGCCUGAUCCAGCCAUCCCGCGUGAAGGACGACGGCCCUAUGGGUUGUAAACUUCUUUUGUAUAGGGAUAAACCUAGAUACGUGUAUCUAGCUGAAGGUACUAUACGAAUAAGCACCGGCUAACUCCGUG
rnacentral:rRNA from 1 species